rnacentral:rRNA from 1 species
GACGAACGCUGGCGGCGUGCCUAAUACAUGCAAGUCGAGCGGAUCUCUGAUGGAGCUUGCUCCUGAUGAGGUUAGCGGCGGACGGGUGAGUAACACGUAGGCAACCUGCCCACAAGAUCGGGAUAACACUCGGAAACGAAUGCUAAGACCGGAUACACAAUCUUCUCGCAUGGGAGGAGUGGGAAAGACGGAGCAAUCUGUCACUGGUGGAUGGGCCUGGCGCCGCAUUAGCUAGUUGGUGAGGUAACGGCCCACCAAGGCGACGAUGCGUAGCCGACCUGAGAGGGUGAACGGCCACACUGGGACUGAGACACGGCCCAGACUCCUACGGGAGGCAGCAGUAGGGAAUCUUCCACAAUGGGCGAAAGCCUGAUGGAGCAACGCCGCGUGAGUGAGGAAGGCCUUCGGGUCGUAAAGCUCUGUUGCCAGGGAAGAAUAAGGUCAUGUUAACUGCAUGACCGAUGACGGUACCUGAGAAGAAAGCCCCGGCUAACUACGUGCCAGCAGCCGCGGUAAAAC